rnacentral:rRNA from 1 species
AGAGUUUGAUCCUGGCUCAGGAUGACCUUUGGCGGCGUGCCUAACACAUGCAAGUCGAACGGAGUUUAUAUUAAGAAGUUUUCGGACGGAUUGAUAUAAACUUAGUGGCGGACGGGUGAGUAACGCGUGGGUAACCUGCCUCAUACAGGGGGAUAACAGUCGGAAACGGCUGCUAAAACCGCAUAAGCAUACAGUAUCGCAUGGUACAGUGUGAAAAUAUUUAUAGGUAUGAGAUGGGCCCGCGUCUGAUUAGCUAGUUGGUGAGAUAAAAGCUUACCAAGGCGACGAUCAGUAGCCGGCUUGAGAGAGUGACCAGCCACACUGGGACUGAGACACGGCCCAGACUCCUACGGGAGGCAGCAGUGGGGAAUUUUCGACAAUGGGGGAAACCCUGAUCGAGCCAUCCCGCGUGUGGGACGAAGGCCUUCGGGUUGUAAACCACUUUUCUUAGCGAAGAAAAGUCUUAGGCUAAUACCUUAAGAUGCUGACGGUAGCUAAGGAAUAAGCAUCGGCUAACUACGUGCCAGCAGCCGCGGUAAUACGUAGGAUGCAAGCGUUAAUCGGAAUUACUGGGCGUAAAGGGUGCGCAGGCGGCUUGGAAAGAACGGUGUGAAAUCCCGGGGCUCAACCCCGGAACUGCACUAUUAACUAUCAAGCUAGAGUAUGUCAGAGGGGGGUGGAAUUCCGCGUGUAGCAGUGAAAUGCGUAGAUAUGCGGAGGAACACCAAUGGCGAAGGCAGCCCCCUGGGAUAAUACUGACGCUCAGGCACGAAAGCGUGGGUAGCAAACAGGAUUAGAUACCCUGGUAGUCCACGCCCUAAACGAUGUCAACUAGCUGUUGGGCCGGUUACGGCUUAGUAGCGCAGCUAACGCGUGAAGUUGACCGCCUGGGGACUACGGUCGCAAGACUAAAACUCAAAGGAAUUGACGGGGACCCGCACAAGCGGUGGAUGAUGUGGAUUAAUUCGAUGCAACGCGAAAAACCUUACCUACCCUUGACAUGCCCGGAAGCUUCAAGAGAUUGAAGUGUGCUCGCAAGAGAACCGGAGCACAGGUGCUGCAUGGCUGUCGUCAGCUCGUGUCGUGAGAUGUUGGGUUAAGUCCCGCAACGAGCGCAACCCUUGUCAUUAGUUGCUACGCAAGAGCACUCUAAUGAGACUGCCGGUGACAAACCGGAGGAAGGUGGGGAUGACGUCAAGUCCUCAUGGCCCUUAUGGGUAGGGCUUCACACGUCAUACAAUGGUCAGGACAGCGGGUUGCCAAACCGCGAGGUGGAGCUAAUCUCAAAAACCUGAUCGUAGUCCGGAUUGCAGGCUGCAACUCGCCUGCAUGAAGUCGGAAUCGCUAGUAAUCGCAGAUCAGAAUGCUGCGGUGAAUACGUUCCCGGGCCUUGCACUCACCGCCCGUCA